GGGUCAGUAGGUUGGUCGUGCCACCGGUACGUACUGGUCUCACUGAUUCCUCCUUCCUGAAGAACCGUAAUGCCAUUAAUUAGGUGUUGCGGGGAGACAGGACUGUUACUUUGAAAAAAUUAGAGUGUUUAAAGCAAGCUAACGCUUGAAUACAUUAGCAUGGAAUAAUGAAAUAGGACGAUCGAUCCUAUUUUGUUGGUUUCUAGGAUUGACGUA
rnacentral:rRNA from 1 species